AUCGGUUUAUUCAUCCCUUCGUUUCCAAUUUGGAAUUUUGCAGCAAAUAAUGAAACGGUUCGAUCAACGUUCCCGCUUUCGGCCGUAAUGGCAGCCGAAGGCGAUAGUUUUUGUAUCCGUUCCUACAGUCGAAGCCGCAGUUCCAACAGUUAUGUAAAAAAGUGCGUUAUUACCAAAAGGCGGCCAAAUUGUGGCUGGCUGGCUGACUGGCCCACCAACCCAUUGCUGUGUUGUAGGUGUAGUGGGACAGACUGAUAACACUAUAGGGCAGAGCAGUAGUGUGGAGCGCAUAGCAGAGCGUCAGCUUCAGGAACUGGUAAUUGAAAUGUGUAAUAUGCCGCACUUUUUUCUGUUUCUGAUUAAUGUUCAGCUAGACGAAUAAUGAUGACCCGGUGCAGAAGGCAUUAUCUUGCAUGGCGCGUUUUGGCUUUUUAUUGCUGCUUGGCUCUAUUGGUAUUGUGUACAUGGUUAAUUUUGCACAUUUUUUUGUACCGUACACCGCACUGUUGACGUAACUUUCCAAAUAGGCUACCAGAAACAAUAAUUGUAAAAGAUCAAGGUUAGCUUUUUCGAUUCGGUUUUCGAGAGCUUUGUUUGGUCACAUGAUUUGAAUGGGAAAUUAACCACCUGCUGCAGUACGCGAUAUGAUCUAACAUUUUGAAAAACUGUUGAUAGACAAAAGCAAUUGUACACUGUCAUAAUUUGCAGUACCUAACGGUUUUCAGUGAAACCGUUGAUACACUAGUUGAAAUGUAGCAAAAUUAACGUAGAUUUACAUAUCUGUAUCGUUCUUAUCUUGAUUUGCUGCAGAGCAUAAUUGUCAGAUUCAUUCACAUUGUUUUUCUUUUUGCUAUCAUGUAGCAGUUUCACAUUAAUCACAAUGUUCUGCAUUAAAAACAGUUUCGCAGGGCAGCAGCAAGAAUUAGAACUGCUAGCCGUUGUUCUGAAUUUCUUUCCAAUAUGAUAAACAGUUUUAAUUUCUAGUCGCCCAACCCUUUGGGGCAUAGAGCUGAAAUAUACAUAGCCGUUAAUUGCAUCUGCAUGUGCAUACUGCAUAGUACAAAUGCACGCAAAAGAACCGGUUGGCCGUAUCAAGAUGUUUUCUAACAUUUUAUCUAAUUAAUGAGUGAAGCGCCCGCAAAAGUUGUGUUCUACUCAUAACACUUAUCACGCUAGUAAUGUGUUAUGAAUAAAACAUUGCUAGUAAUGGGUUUUGCUUUACACAAAGAACUUAGAACAAAUCGUCACCAUGUCGUCUACUUUAAUUUAAUUAUUUACCUAAUAGGUAUAAGAGUUUUUUUUGUCAAAACGUCUUGAUGCUAAUAUUUUGUUAACCCAUUAUGUCCUAGAGUAUGAUACAUCAUACCCCGUUUUCAAAACCAGUUUACUGCUGAAUUUCAAUAGUUAGCAUUAUUAAUAUAUCACUACACUGCCCAUGGAUGCAUAGUUGACGUAACAACCAGCACCAUAAUUGUUGCGAAAACGCAUUUUUAUCGGGAAAAAUGUUUAAAACCAUAUAAUCUUAACUGUAUACUUUUUCAAUCAAAAAAUUUGUCAAUUUAGUAGAGAUUAUGAGUCAAAACAGGGCCGAAGGGGUUUCGCGAUUUAUUUCUCGGUUGUUGUAUUCAAAAAAUGCAUACGCCAGUUUAUGCGUAUAAACAGACUGUUGGACAUUAGCAUUUUAUAGCAUUUUUUCAGCUUUCCGAUGGUGGUCUUGAAAUUAAAAUCGGUUGUGGGAUCAUUGCGAAAACGACGAUUUUUUUAUAAAAUCCAACAUGGCGGCCAAAUCCAAGAUGGUCGCUAAUUUUUUUUCACUUUGUUUAUAAGCCCUAUCUUUCCUCUUUACAUAACCGUGUUGUUUGUAGUUUGUUUCAUAGUAAAUUUUGGAAAUAUUCCAAGAAUUACAUGAAAAUUGCGAACCUUGCUACAAAUAACUGGUUGUUUUAUUCAGUUAAUGCCAUUACACACCUAAUUUUAUGAAUGUUUCUUGUAGCAUUUUUUCUCAGCUUUCUAAUGGUGUUCUUCAAAUGAAAUGAAAUGAUCGGUUGGGGGGCUCAUGGUGAAAACAGCGAUUUUUUGAUAAAAUCCAAUAUGGCGACCCAAUCCAAGAUGGCCGCCAAAAAAUUUAUUCCAUUUGAAAGCCCCGUUCUUCUUCUUUACAAAACCGGGCCAUUUGUUAGUUGUUUCAUGGCAAAUUUAUGAAAUAUCACAUAAUAUAGAUCUCAAAGUUUGCUGAAAAUUCUACUUUUCAUGAACCUGUUAGACCCCCUGGUGCACGAGGGGUCCACUAUUUAGAGGUAUCAAAAGUGUAAUUCUUAUUUUUUAACCAUUUUCAACCAAUUAAGCGCAAAAGUUCCAAUAUUUGAAGACCUCGUGUCAGUAGUGGCCCCGUUUCAGCGAGAAUUAUUCUGCUGUUUUUAUGAGGAAUAUUAUAAUCAACGCCGACUUUUUAUUGUGGUUGUUAAUUGGUUUUCAUAUCAGAAUGGAAAUAGAAUGAUUUUGCAAGAAGCUAAGAUUGACUAAUCAUAUAUCAAAAAUAGCAAAAUAGCAAAAUCAUAUAUCAAAAAUAGCAAACGCAAAUGUACAUAUUUCAUUUGUACGGGAGCGUGCCCUUUUAUAGCGGGAGGGGCCAUAAUUUACCUCCUGAAGAGGGGAGAGGUCUCAAUGCACCAAAAAAAAAGAAUUUGCCUCCCAAAACACCCGCAUGCCAAGUUUAGUUCCAUUUGCUUGAUUAAUUCUAAAGUUAUGAGGAAAUUUGUAUUUCAUUUGUAUGGGAGCCCCCUCCUAAAAAGGGGAGGGGUCCUAAUUCAUCAUAGAAAAGUUCUUGCCUGCAAAAACACCCACAUGCUAAAUUUGGUUCUAUUUGCUUGAUUAGUUCUGCAGUUAUGAGGAAAUUUGUAGUUCAUUUGUGUGGGAGCCCCCUCUCCUAAAAAGGUAAGGCGUGCUAAUUCAUCAUAGAAAAAAUUCUUGUCUCCGAAAACACCCACAUGCCAAAUAUAGUUCCAUUUGAUUGAUUAGUUCUCGAGUUAUGAGGAAGUUUGUUUUUCAUGUGUGUAGGAGCCCCCCCCCUCCUAGAGUGGAAAGGGGUCCUAAUUCACCAUAGAAAAAAUUCUUGUCUCUUAAAACCUUCACAUGCCAAAUUUGUUUCCAUUUAAUUGAUUUGUUCUCGAGUUAUGAAAAAAUUUGUUUUUCAUUUGUAUAGGACCCCCCCUCCUUCCUAAAGUGGGAAGGGGUCCUAAUUCAUCAUAGAAAAAAUUCUUGUCUCCGAAAACACCCACAUGCCAAAUAUAGUUCCAUUUGAUUGAUUAGUUCUCGAGUUAUGAGGAAGUUUGUUUUUCAUGUGUGUAGGAGCCCCCCCCUCCUAGAGUGGAAAGGGGUCCUAAUUCAUCAUAGAAAAAAUUCUUGCCUCCAAAAACCUUCACAUGCCAAAUUUGGUUCCAUCUGUUUGAUUAGUGCUUGAGUUAAAAAGAAAUUUGUAUUUCAUUUGUGUGAUAGUCCACCCCCCCCCCUCUUAAAGGGGAUAGGGGUCAUAAUUCUCCUCCUAAAGAAGGGAGGGGUCUCAAUGCACCAUAGAAAAAAAUUUACCUAUAAAAACACCCACAUACCAAAUUUGUUUCCAUUUGCUUGAUUAGUUUUCGAGAUAAGAGGAAAUAUGUAGUUUAUUUAUAUGGAAUCCCCCCCCCCCUCUUAAAAGGGGGAGGGGUCAUAAUCCACCAUACAAAAAAUUUCUGCCUUCUAAAACCCCGACAUGCCAAAUUUGGCUCCAUUUGCUUGAUUAUUUCUGGAGUUAUGAGGAAAUUUGUAUUUCAUUUGUAUGGGAGCCCCCCUCCUAAAAAUGUAAGGAGUCCCAAUUCAUCAUAGAAAAAAUUCUUGCCUCCAAAAACACCCACAUGCCAAAUUAUGUUCCAUUUGCUUGAUUAAUUCUCGAGUUACGCAGAAAUUUGUGUUUCAUUUGUAUGGGAGCCCCCCCCUCUUAGUGGGGGGAGGGGUCUCUAACCAUCAUAAGAACCUUUCUUGGCCCUAAAAACCUCUACACGCAAAUUUUCACGCCGAUUGUUUCAGUAGUUUUCGAUUCUAUAAGGAACACCCCGGCAGACAGACAGACAGAAAUCCAUUUUUAUAUAUAAGAUUCUAUCGGAUAUUUUAUUAUGGUCGCUGUGAAUCAAAUCGAUCAGGACGAUCUGACAGCAAAACUUCACCUUUUCUGCUCACGGCUAUAUAUUUUCAAGUUAAUACAGCUGUCUAUGAGACCUUUUCACACAGCAAACUUUAUGAUUUAUAGCUUUGUCAAACAAAACGAAAAGCUUCAUUAGAUUAUGGCAGUUACCGUCAAGCGAAGAAAAGCAUGAUCGGUUUUAUUGCUGCGUUCAGAGCCUAAUACACCUCCUUCGAAAGCUUUUAAAUACCUACUGAAGAGUGGGCCUCUUGGUCUUGGUCGAAAGGAAGUUUUAUAGCGGUCAUCAGAAGGUUCUAGUGGAGCUUAUAGUUUUAUCAGCGGAUUUACGAAAUUGAUCAAGAAAACCAGCAGAGGAACAUAAAAAAACUUAAAUUGAGUGUAAGUUCAAAUCCUGAUUAUCUGGUAUACUGCAGCACUGUAUAGUCACCUUUUUUAAUCACGCAUUACGCAAUCACGUACAACAAUAAUUUCUCUCAUAUGCUCUUCGUAAAUUAGGUAGGACAUCAUUUUCUCUUCCAACAUACAAAGCACGCUGCUUGGUAUUAAACAGACAAUCAUUAAAAGACCGUCGAAAAUAUGCAAUGGUUUUAUUUGGAAACGAUAGUGUUUCCCUCCGUAUUGUCAAAGCAACACUUUUAUCAGAACUGAAGUUUUAUACACCUACUCGGCAACUUCGAAAUCGAAAUUUAAAUGCCAUAAGACAUUAUCACACUAUUUUUAUAGAUUCAGGCAAACUGAAAAAUUCUUGCUAUUAGGCCAAAAAUAUAGACUUAGCGAAGGUGAGAGUCUUACAGGUCUCAAUCUCUAGUCGAGUGUGUUCUUUAACCAAUUACACCACUAAACUGUCUUUCUGUUUUUGUCUGGGCAGGUCAGUGGAUAUAGAUUAAAUCCCCUUUACAUCAUUAGAUAAACAUCCUUCAAAAGCAACUUACUUCCGUUACAGUCUAAACACACUAAUGUUUGCUUGCCACUUCGUUUUUAACAGCCACUAUUGAAUCAGAUGGGUAAAUACAAUUACUAUUGAACUAUCGCAAACAGUCCACAGCUAUAAAAUGUGAAUUAUCUCGCUAAAACGUCAUAUUAUCCAGUAACAGUCUCAAUAUGAAGACGCUUGUCUUAUCAGUGCUAGUUCUGAUUGCUUUUGCUGUAGCUUUUACAGCUUCCCAUCACCAUCCUGACCAUCAUGAAAAUGAUAGUCAGUGGCCUGCUCGUGGGGCGUCGGUCAUCCCGGCAUCGUCGUGGUCACCGGGUCAGCGUUGGAACCGAACCGGACCAGCAUACAAUUUCACCGGUGGUCAUCAUCCGUGGAUCAAUCGACACAAUCGGACAAGGUUUCCCGUUCGCAAUUAAGAUGCUGGGAAUGCAUUUUGCUGUCAGCUAUUGAUUUCUUGAUUAAGCAAAAUAAAAUAUGAAUACGACACAAAAGCUACAAAAAUGCAGUUUAGUCUGAAAAAAUAAUAAGGUUGUAAAUCAGUUAGUAUUGGAAUUAAAUUAAUUAAUAAAAUAAUUGAAUGACGAAUGAAGAAAACUUAGAUUCUGAGGUUCUUGAAGAUUCAUCGGACCUGUCCGUUGUUUGCGAGUGUCUAUCGCUCCAUAUUUUAUUACUUAUACUGUAAUAAAUAUCAGCGAGCCAAUUAAUAUAUUAGUCAGAUAAAAGGUA